rnacentral:rRNA from 1 species
CACGUAGGGGGCAAGCGUUGUCCGGAAUCAUUGGGCGUAAAGAGCUCGUAGGCGGCUCAGUAAGUCGGGUGUGAAACCCUCAGGCUCAACCUGGGGACGCCACCCGAUACUGCUGUGGCUAGAGCCCAGUAGGGGAGUGUGGAAUUCCCGGUGUAGCGGUGAAAUGCGUAGAUAUCUGGAGGAACACCGGUGGCGAAGGCGGCAUCCUGGACCAACAUUGACGCUGAGGAGCGAAAGCUAGGGGAGCAAACGGG